rnacentral:rRNA from 1 species
UACGGAGGGUGCGAGCGUUGUCCGGAAUCACUGGGCGUAAAGGGCGCGUAGGCGGCCUGAUAAGUAGGGGGUGAAAUCCUGCGGCUUAACCGCAGGGCUGCCUUCUAAACUGUCAGGCUCGAGCACAGUAGAGGCAGGUGGAAUUCCCGGUGUAGCGGUGGAAUGCGUAGAGAUCGGGAAGAACAUCAGUGGCGAAGGCGGCUCACUGGACCGGCAUUGACGCUGAGGUGCGAAAGCGUGGGGAGCAAACAGG